GGGAAACGGGAGAGGGGGCCAGCCCCGGGCAAACAAAUUUAUGGGGCG
rfam:Heterocephalus glaber contig244744, whole genome shotgun sequence.